AAAGAAAUCUUUAAAGUAUAAUUCGAAUUUUGAAACAUAAAUUAAAAAUUAUUAAAAAAAAAUUAAUUCAAAUUUCAUAAAAAAAUUUUUUUUAAACUUAAUUCAAAAAAUCUAAAAAAUUCGUUGAAGACACCAACUCGCACAAGCAUGUCAUCAGCAGCAUAAAUCCAUCGCAGCAGUCGUAAAAAUUUAUUUCGCAGCAAUCGCCACGCUUCCACGCUGACAAAAGCAAAAGCUAAACCACAACAAGCGGGAUUUAAGUGGCAACCAGCAACAGCGCGCUCGAGUCAAAGACCAAAAUUCCAGCAACACAAGCAAGGGUUUUCGGUGUUAACAACAGCAAGUGGAUGAUCUUGCGAAAACCACAACAAUAAAAAGAAAAUUAAGCAAAAUCGGAAAGGUGACGAACACAUCGCAACGCUGUGAGCCCGAAAAAUUUGCGCCCGCAACUGCCAGAACGUGGUUUACCUACGAGAAAGAUAAAAUGAAAACAUCAACAACAACGAUUAAAUGAAAAUAUUAAAAAUACAUAAAUUAGUACAAUGAUAGUUACUCAGAAUUAAACCGGUUUCUUAAAGCGUCAUCUAGUAAAAAGCAAGUGGAAAGUAAAAAAUUCAAAUCAAAUUCAAGAAAUUAAAACGAUGCUGUAAAAAUUGUGUUCCCACAUAGCAAAUAAGCGUGCGAUAGAUCUAAUAACAAAUUAAAAAAAAUUAAAAAUUAAAAUAGUACUAAAAGUAAAACUAGUAGUAAAAAUAGUACUUAAAUAAUUAAAUACUAAACUAGUUAUUAAAGUGCAGGUGGAAUUAUCAACAUUAAGUGCUAAAAACAAUUAAAAUUAUUGCUAAGAAAAGUGCUUAAUUAGUGCUAAAAUAAAAAAAGG